AGCAGCCGCGGUAAUUCCAGCUCCAAUAGCGUAUAUUAAAGUUGUUGCAGUUAAAAAGCUCGUAGUUGAAUUUCGGGAUCAAUAUAUCGGUCGUGCCUUGGUACGUACUGGUAUCAUUGGUUUCUCCUUUCUGACGAACCAUGAUGUCAUUAAUUUGGUGUUAUGGGAAGUUAGGACUGUUACUUUGAAAAAAUUAGAGUGUUUAAAGCAGGCUUUGGCUUGAAUACAUUAGCAUGGAAUAAUGAAAUAGGACGUUCGAACCUAUUUUGUUGGUUUCUAGGAUCAACGUAAUGAUUAAUAGGGAUAGUUGGGGGCAUUAGUAUUCAAUUGUCAGAGGUGAAAUUCUUGGAUUUAUUGAAGACUAACUACUGCGAAAGCAUUUGCCAAGGAUGUUUUCAUUAAUCAAGAACGAAAGUUAGGGGAUCGAAGACGAUCAGAUACCGUCGUAGUCUUAACCAUAAACUAUGCCGACUAGGGAUCGGAUGAUGUUAAUUUUUUUCAAUGACUCAUUCGGCGCCUU
rnacentral:misc_RNA from 1 species